UUUGGUUGAAAAUAGAGUUCAAAUCUGAUUUGAAUUCGUGAUAAGAUCAAACCUGUUUGAACCUGAACAAAAAUGUUCAAACUCUAUCCUUAUCUUGAUGGGAUGCCCCCUUAAGAAGGGGUGAUUUUUUGUGCACCUCAUCAGAUGAUUUUUGGCAUGAGAAAACCUCAGAGGGGGCAUGAAAAAUCUAAGUGAGGGGUGGGCGUUCGUGCGUGAGAAAAUGAGGAAGAAAGUUCCUCUUUGGG
rnacentral:lncRNA from 1 species